GGGUUCUUCUUAUUACUUGGAAGUUUCGAGUAGUGAUAAUGCAUCAACCGAUCUCUCUGAUUUCCUUGGAAUGAAGGGCUUACACUGUGGUAAUGAAGGAGGACAAUUCUACAGAAAUGGAAGUUUUGACAGCAUUCGAAAAGGUUGCUUUAAGGAUAUAGAUAUCUUCAUCGGUGGGUUUUAUAUAUAUUUGAAAAACGGACCAAAGUUUGAUACAUUAGACAUAUCGGUCAUCUGUAAUACAACACUGAUGUCAUAUUUAUCCAAAGGAAGACUAGAUAAUGUUAACUGCUCUCAAAAUUACAAAGAGUUCCAACUUGUAUAUACAAAUGCUGUUAGAACAUUAUUCUAUGCUGGAAUCUUCUCAACAGUUAAUCCGAGGAAAAUGAAAGUACUUGUGGCUACCACACAAGACAGUGUUCCCAUGA